GAUGAACGCUAGCGGCAGGCUUAACACAUGCAAGUCGAGGGCAGCAUGACACGGAGAUUCGUCGAAGUGUUGAUGGCGGCCGGCGCAAGGGUGCGUAACGCGUGAGCAACUUGCCCGUUUCUGGGGCAUAACCGGUGGAAACGCCGACUAAUUCCCCAUAGUAUUGAGUUUAGGCAUCUUUACUCAAUUAAAGAAUUUCGGAAACGGAUAGGCUCGCGUGACAUUAGCUAGAUGGCGGGUAACGCCCACCAUGGCGACGAUGUCUAGGGGUUCUGAGAGGAAGGUCCCCCANACUGGAACUGAGACACGGUCCAGAC
rnacentral:rRNA from 1 species